rnacentral:lncRNA from 1 species
GAAAAGGUGGCUCUGGCCGGGGUGGCUCGGUUUCCUGGGGCUAUGUAACUGAGCUCGUCGACUUAGGGGUCCUUCUUCGCUGCCCUCGCCGCGUGCUAGCAGGGAGUUUCCGCUCGGGAGAGAGACUGUCCUCACGCCCGCUGCGCCUCCUCGACGGCAGAGCAGGCUUGCUCGCCCGUGGGAGCGUCCCGGCCGAGAAGCCCUGAGGGGGGAGGGGAGGCCAUUUUGUCCCGACCGACUCCCCGGAACCGGGCGGACGGGCUGGGAGAGGCUGCGGAGCCGCGGUCGCCGCCCUCGGAGGCACUGGACGCCGCCACUGUCGGGGCUUCCUCAAAGCUGUUCGUAGGUCGCCCGCGCCGUCUCGAGCCUUUUUCCCACGCUUCCCCGGUCCUCCGGCCUGAGAACGCCCGAGUGAGGAGUUGGCCGUAGUGAGAGGGACCGAUCCCUUGGGGCCGCCGGCGGCGAGAGCCCGAGCCGCUCCUCCCAAUGGCGAAGAAGACGUACGACCUGCUUUUCAAGCUGCUCCUGAUCGGGGAUUCCGGAGUGGGGAAGACCUGCGUCCUUUUUCGUUUUUCGGAUGAUGCCUUCAAUACUACCUUUAUUUCCACCAUAGGAAUAGACUUCAAGAUCAAAACAGUUGAAUUACAAGGAAAGAAGAUCAAGCUACAGAUAUGGGAUACAGCAGGCCAGGAGCGAUUUCACACCAUCACAACCUCCUACUACAGAGGCGCAAUGGGUAUCAUGCUAGUAUAUGACAUCACCAAUGGUAAAAGUUUUGAAAACAUCAGCAAAUGGCUUAGAAACAUAGAUGAGGUAAGACCUAGAACUUGUAUAAACCCUUCAUGAACACACAUUUGUGUGCUUGGUUAGGAAGAAUAAAUAUUCCAACUGAUCUUCAGGAUAUAAUGUACUGUUGAAGUCAUUAUUAUUGAAGUAUUUCUAUUUUCUAAAAGUUAAUGUUGGCCGGGCAUGGUGGCUCAUGCCUGUAAUCCCAGCACUUUGGGAGGCUGAGGUGGGAGGAUCACCUGAGGUCAGGAGCUAAAGACCAGCCUGGCCAACAUGGUGAAACCCCAUCACUACUAAAAAUUAUAAAAAUCAGCUGGGUGUGGUGAUGUGCACCUGUCGUCCCAGCUACUCAAGAGUCCAAGGCAGGAGAAUCUCUUGAACCUGGGAGGUAGAGGUUGCAAUGAGCCAAGAUUGCGCCACUGCACUCCAGCCUGGGCAACAGAGCAAGACUCCGUCUCC